GUGGGGAAUAUUGGACAAUGGGCGAAAGCCUGAUCCAGCCAUGCCGCGUGAGUGAUGAAGGCCUUCGGGUUGUAAAGCUCUUUUAGAUGGGAAGAUAAUGACGGUACCAUCAGAAUAAGCCCCGGCUAACUUCGUGCCAGCAGCCGCGGUAAUACGAAGGGGGCAAGCGUUGUUCGGAAUUACUGGGCGUAAAGGGUGCGUAGGCGGCCAAGCAAGUCAGAUGUGAAAGCCCAGGGCUUAACCCUGGAACUGCAUUUGAAACUGCUUGGCUAGAGUAUGGGAGAGGUAAGUGGAAUUCCCAGUGUAGAGGUGAAAUUCGUAGAUAUUGGGAAGAACAUCAAUGGCGAAGGCAGCUUACUGGACCAUAACUGACGCUGAGGCACGAAAGCGUGGGGAGCAAACAGG
rnacentral:rRNA from 1 species